AUCAACUGGUCACAUUUGCAGAUGCACAAGUAGAAAGAUUUCUUUCACUGGACCAGACAACUUGGGCUGCUUCAUACAUUUUCAGCCUCAACUAAGACUGAAUGUGGCUGCUGGCAAAGACAGCUCUUUUUCAAAGAGCCUCUGGGUCUCUCUGAUCCCUGCUGAGAUGCUGUAUGCUGGUUCAUGUUCAUCUCUGGGUCUGGUGAAUCAGGAUCCAACUGCUCACUACAAGCAUGCAGAGACUUGUAAAUGUGAAGGUCAGCAGCUAAGGGACACAAUGCUCUGAGCAUGUUUGGAGACACAGAUGGAACUGCUUACACAGACAAUGAGAAUCUGACUCAGAGCAGGGGAAAUUGCCUCACUGCAUUUUGCCUCACAGUUGCUUAUUAAGUUGCCAGUAGGACAAAACCAGCAGCUGAACUUCCAGGAGGUGGGGACGGGAACUCUCCGGCAUUGCCCUUCCCAGCACUUUCCUUUUGAUGCUUCUGACCUCCUCUGGAGGAGAGAUGGGGGAACCAGCUGUGAA